rnacentral:rRNA from 1 species
GAUGAACGCUGGCGGCGUGCCUAAUACAUGCAAGUCGAGCGAACGGACGAGAAGCUUGCUUCUCUGAUGUUAGCGGCGGACGGGUGAGUAACACGUGGAUAACCUACCUAUAAGACUGGGAUAACUUCGGGAAACCGGAGCUAAUACCGGAUAAUAUUUUGAACCGCAUGGUUCAAAAGUGAAAGACGGUCUUGCUGUCACUUAUAGAUGGAUCCGCGCUGCAUUAGCUAGUUGGUAAGGUAACGGCUUACCAAGGCAACGAUGCAUAGCCGACCUGAGAGGGGGAUCGGCCACACUGGAACUGAGACACGGUCCAGACUCCUACGGGAGGCAGCAGUAGGGAAUCUUCCGCAAUGGGCGAAAGCCCGACGGAGCAACGCCGCGUGAGUGAUGAAGGUCUUCGGAUCGUAAAACUCUGUUAUUAGGGAAGAACAUAUGUGUAAGUAACUGUGCACAUCUUGACGGUACCUAAUCAGAAAGCCACGGCUAACUACGUG